CAGCAGCCGCGGUAAUACCGGCGGCCCGAGUGGCGGCCACUAUUAUUGGGCUUAAAGCGUCCGUAGCCGGGUUGGUUAGUCUCCCGGGAAAUCUGGCCGCUUAACGGUCAGAAUUCCGGGAGAUACUGCCAGCCUAGGGACCGGGAGAGGCCGAGGGUCUUCCCGGAGUAGGGGUGAAAUCCUAUAAUCCCGGGAGGACCACCUGUGGCGAAGGCGCUCGGCUGGAACGGGUCCGACGGUGAGGGACGAAGGCCAGGGGAGCAAACCGGAUUAGAUACCCGGGUAGUCCUGGCUGUAAACGAUGCGGACUUUGUGUCGGACAAGCUAUGAGCUUGUCCGGUGCCGGAGGGAAACCGUUAAGUCCGCCGCCUGGGGAGUACGGCCGCAAGGCUGAAACUUAAAGGAAUUGGCGGG
rnacentral:rRNA from 1 species